rnacentral:lncRNA from 1 species
UGAGGCUGACAACAUUUUGAAAGGUGUUUAUUGUUAAAUAAGUGUGAUGGUCAUGAGCUCGAAACUUUUUCCAGGAGAUACACACACCUAUUUAAUCUGCGAUGCCCAAACUAUUUUACCCAAAGUCCUUCACCCAAUGUGUGAGUUCCUUCAAGAUGUGGCGAAAAAUCUGCCACCUCAGCUUUAUGUCUACAGCUAAAAAUCAGCCUGAAAAGAACACUGAAACAUAGUCUGUGCUUUGCUAUCUCCGAAGGAUUAAGAGACUGGGUCAGAAUCCUUACUUUUCCCCCUCUAGGUAUAUAAAUCAUGGACAGGUUACUUAGUUUAAAAAAAAAAAAUAAAUAAAAGCCCAGGUUUCCUUAUCUGUUAACAGGAAAAGAAUAGGGACGACUUCAUGGGAUCAUGAUGAAGGUAAAAUGAGACGAUGUCCAAGAUGCUCUGCUAAGUGGCUAAAGAAACAGGCGAUUAUUUACCUCCCCAGCAUCUCACAUUGUCUACUUAGGUGUACUUCUCGCCAUUCCAACUGCAUACAUUAGGAGACCUGCAAGGAGUGUGUUUAGGAAUAAAGGAGGGCAACCAAAGUGGUGAUGCACCCCGGGAGUAGCAACCGGGAGAAUUACCUGCAGGCUUUGCUAGGGCCCGGGGAAGAGGGAGUUACCAGAACUCAGAAAGAGCUCUAGCUGCGGUGUAGCUGACGCUCUAGCUAGAGCCACCAGACGGUAGUGGCUUUUGACAGCAAUGAAGAUGCCUAAGGAAUCAAUAGGGAGCUACCUAAGGCAGGGGUCAGUAAGUUUGUUCUGUAAAGGGCCAGAAAAUUAGUAAUUUAGGUUUGCAGGCCUUAAGGCCUCUGGCACAGUUACCCAACUCUGUCAUAAAAAGAGAGUAAAAGCAGCCACAGACAAUAAGUCAAUGGAUGGGCAUGGCAGUGUGCCAAUAAAACUUUAUUUUUAGGAGCUCCUGUCGUGGCACAGCAGAAACAAAUCUGUCUAGGAACCAUGAGGUUUAUAAAAAUUAACUACAGGCUAGAUUUGGGCUGAGGGUUACAAUUUGCGGACCCCUGGCCUGUGGAAUGCAUAAACCCUACACUCCUUUCCUGCCCUCCCUUCUCCUGUCAGUGCCUUCCACGAACUGAACACAAGGAAAGCCAGAGGGUUGAUAGAGUCACAAAGUCAGGCCCUCAGGGACAGAGCAGGAAGAGAAGGGGAAAGAAAUUCUAGUCAAAGCUUCAUAGGAGAAGAUCCAGCACAAAGGUAUUCAGCAAAGGCCUGUCGAAACGAAUGAAUCCUAUGCUUGGUCACUGUGAAUUACUCUAAAAUGGUUGAACACUCCUGGGAAAGCUAUCAAAAUUGCAUCCUUGAAUAGGCAAAGCCAGGAAAGGGUCCUGGGUUGGGGUGACGGCACCCAAAGCCUGUGAUGCUCCAUUAGCUUCUCUCUUGAUUUUGCAAUCCCAUGCACUUCUGACUUGCCAAUGAAACAUUAACCUAGCCAAAAUAAUCCUUCUUCUGAAUUCCAGACUACUGCUCAAGUAGUAUGGUGUUCAGGGAUUUUGCAAAAUAUGCACAUGAGAAAUACUGUGCCUUAAAAUGAGGGAGCCAAAUGUUUUUCGUCAAAGAACACUUGUUGUGAUAAGUGUGACAGGUCUCAGAAAUUUCUGCACAAUGAGAAGCGACAACAGAUGCAAGAAAAACCAGGCUUGGACAUACCCCACGUCAAUUUCUGCAGCCAACCCCUCAGACUCUUUCAAUACGGGAGAAACCUUCACCCAUGUGGGGUGCUAGGUCGAUACUCCUAAAAUUAGAAAGUUGAUUUCCACUCAAGCUUCCUCUCUUCCUAUUUUUUUUAUUUUUUAAUUUUUUAAUUUUUUGCUUUUUAGGCCUGCACCCACAGCAUAUGGAGGUUCCCAGGCUAGGAGCGGAAUCAGAGCUUUAGCUGCUGGCCACAGCCAGAGCAACACAAGAUCCGAGCCGUGUCUGCAACCUACUCCACAGCUCCCGACAAUGCCAGAUCCUUAACCCACUGAGCGAGGCCAGGGAUCAAACCCACAACCUCACGGUUCCUAGUAGGAUUCGUUUCCUCUGUGCCACGAUGGGAACGCCUCUCCCACUUUCUUUGGCUUUCUCUCGUCCCUCAUUGUUCCUGUUUGGCUUUGUUCUUCCGGAGAAGCCGUGAGGGUAGUAGGUAGGCAUGUAAGCAUUGGUGUGAGCCAGACCUAGACUUAAUCUCUCUUUCGUCAACUCACUUUUCCCAUAAGGACACUGGAAAAUGUCAUAGUAUUUUCGAGAAGAUUAAGUGAUGCAUGUUCUCAAUGUAGAUGAGCUGUUAUUGGGGUUUAUUUUAUUUUGUUUCAUCUUCUCCUCCCCUUUGUAUUCAGAACACAUUCUCAAUCUUUUUGCUACAAAGAGAAAAGAGUUGGACAUUUGGAGGGAAGAGGAAGAAGGAAUCCGGUGUGCUCCUCAGCUUGUUCUAUUGAUUUCUCAAGGCUUUAUAUUUCUCAAAUGAACAGCAAAUUUCAGAAUAUCACCUAUAUCUUCCCACCCUAAUAAAAUAUUCUACUAUUAAAAAUAGAAAUAUCUUAUACACAGGGAGUACAAAACCAUAUAUUGUUUAAAAUAAGAAGUAGUUUAGGAAAGAAAAUUUCUUAAAUGACAACUCCCAUUGUUGUGGCACUCCCAAGUUAUCUUGGGAAUGAAACCUUUUUUAAUCAUCAAGGAAUUUAAAAAUCUGUUUAGGUAAGAUAAGGACAGGAACCACCCACAGAACAAGUCACAAUUCCUGCAAACAGGUUCUAGUGACUCCUGGGUCCCUCCACCCUUAAAUGAAAAAAGCAGAGAAAACUAACUUUUAGUUCACCUCCACUACUAUUAGCAGUAGGGACCCUUCCUGAAAAAAAUGUUGAGAAAUUUCCAAUCCCCUUUAUAUUUCCAGGAUGAACCUUGUUGGUUUCUAAUAUUUUACAAAGUGCCCAAGUAUCCAUGACACCCUUUAAGAGUUACUUAUGUGGGGAGUUCCCUUCAUGGCUGAGCAGUUAAUGAACCCGACUAGGAUCCAUGAGGAUUCUGGUUCAAUUCCUGGCCUAGCUCAGUGGGUUACGAAUCUGGAAUUGCCGUGAGCUAUAGUAUAGGUCACAGAUGAGGCUUGGAUCCCGAGUUGCUGUGGUGUGGUGUAGGCGAGUAGCUGUAGCUCUGAUUUGACCCCUAGCCUGGGAACCUCUACAUGCUGAGAGUGCAGCCCUAAAAAGACAAAAGACAAAAGACCAAAAAAAAAAAAAAAGGGGGGAAAGAUGUUACCAGAAUCUGGGUUCUUGUUCACACAGUCAAAGAAUGAACUCCGUGAACACACAGGCAGCAAGCAAGCAAAGUCUUUAUUACAGGAAAGCAAAGAGCUCCCAGGGCUGCUGGGAGGGGGGAGAAGAGCCCCUGCUCUCCAUUGUCCUAUAGGGGUUUUUAUCCCUUAGAGAUGGGGAGGGGGUACCAACGUGGGUCCAGAAAGAUGUGGUUUUCUCCUAUUGGUCUUGCUCAAUUACCCAUAUCAGUCCUUGUCCAGUAAGGGUCUUAGAGGUGGCAAUGUCCCAUAUGUCUCAUGGUUUCUUUGCCCUUCUCUUCCCAUAAACUGAGUCACAGGGAGUUAGGGAUUAAUGUGCAGAGGUACACUCCCUAUGGUAAACAAGGCCUGUGGGGACGUUACUCCCUGGAGCCCUUAAGCCACAAAUGUUAAUUAAUCAAUAUCCAUAUCAAAGAAUGCAUCGUAGCCCAGGCUCCUACACUACCCGAGUUGGUAUUCUGCCUCAACAUGGUAUCAUUUAUAUGUGUGGGAACUGCAGUUUGGCCCUUGCCAUCAGCCUCUACACAGAGUGGAACAUGAACCACGGCAGCUGCCCACCCACAGCACCCCCUGAGUGGAGCUCAGGGGGGAGACCAGGAGGGAGGCACGCUGUUCUCUGAGAAAACUGGAAGAACAGGUCUUCAGACAGAUAUUUUUAGGAGCAGAUUUUAUGAACCCAAUUCUUGCAUCUCCUCAUAUCUAGAAAAACACGAAAGUCCAUCAAUGAGGACUAAAGGCUGCGACUUGUAACCUUCACGAGACCAGCAGCAAACUUCUGUAAAAUGUGUGCAUGGCUGCAGGCACCUUCCCCGUCACCUUUACGACUUAGAUCUUAAUAUUCCCCCUCUCAGUAUUUCAGUACUUCUGGGCUGUACUUAGUGGGCAAAACAAAAGAUGUCACAGUCAUCUGUGAGAACAGCCACUCCCAAGGGUGGGCCAGUGAGCCACGAGGGAACGCAGGAACGAGGGAACGCAGGAACGCAUCAAAGGCGGGAUUCCAGUAAGCCCAGACCUUUACGUCUUCCCAUAGAAAUGAUUUUCGGGAAACCUUCUGUAAAUCUGGUAAAUCUUUUGUUCUUACUACCUCCCUUUUGUGGAAAGAACUCAUAUAUGCUAGAGCUUCCCCUCUCACCUCCUCUGAGUGGUUUCUCGGGGCUACCUGAGAUGCUGACUCCCAGGCUUAAGUCCUAAUUUCACCCCAAGUAAAACUUAACUCUCAACUUUCAGGCUAUAUUUUUUUAAUUGACAUGUGGAAUUUAAAAUAUGGCACAGGAGUUCCCGUCGUGGCAGAGCGGAAAUGAAUCCGACUAGAAACCAUGAGGUUGCAGGUUCAACCCCUGGCCCCACUCAGUGAGUUAAGGAUCUGGCGAUGCCAUGAACUGUGGUGUAGGUCGCAGACAUGGCACGGAUCUGGUGUUGCUGUGGCUGUGACAGAGGCUGGCAGCUGUAGAUCCGAUUCGACCCCUAGCCUAGGAACCUCCAUAUGCCACGGGUGCGGCCCUAAGAAGCAAAAAAAUAAAAUAAAAUAAAAUAUGGCACAAAUGAACCUAGCUAUAAAACAGUAACAGACUCAUGGACAUAGAGAACGGACUUAUGGUUGAAGGGAGAAAGUGGGAUGAAUUGGGAGUUGGGGUUGGUAGAUGCGAACUAUUACAUUUAGAAUGGAUAAGCAAUGAGGUCCUACUGUAUGGGGCAGGAACUAUACCCAGUCUCUUGAGAUAGACCAUGAUGGAAGAUGAUAUAAGAAAAGGAAUAUAUAUAUGGUAUUUGUUUUUCUCCGUCUGACUUAUUUCACUUAGUAUGAUAAUCUCUAGUUGCAUCCAUGUUGCUGAAAAUGGCAUUAUUACAUUAUUUCUUAUGGCUAAGUAGUAUUCUAUUGCAUAUAUGUACAUAUCUUCUUAAUCCAUUCAUCUGUUGAUGGACAUUUAGGUUGUUUCCAGGUCUUGGCUAUUGUGAAUAUAUAUACUCAGCCACUUUGAUGUAUGGUAGAAAUUGGCACAAAACUGUAAAUCAACUAUAAUUUAAAAAAAUAAAAAAUAAAAAAAAGAAUGAAGUGAGGUGGAGUUUCUGCUAUGGCACAACAAGAUCAGUGGUGUCUUGGGAGAACUGGGAUGCAGGUUCUGUCCCUGGCCUGGCACAGUGGGUUAAGGAUCCGGCAUUGCCACA